AUUGAACGCUGGCGGCAGGCCUAACACAUGCAAGUCGAGCGAGCGGCGGACGGGUGAGUAAUGUCUGGGAAACUGCCUGAUGGAGGGGGAUAACUACUGGAAACGGUAGAUAAUACCGCAUACCAUCAGAUGUGCCCAGAUGGGAUGAGCUAGUAGGGGGGGUAAUGGGUCACCGAGGCGAGGAUCCCGAGCUGGUCUGAGAGGAUGACCAGCCACACUGGAACUGAGACACGGUCCAGAUGCCUACGGGAGGCAGCAGUGGGGAAUAUUGCACAAUGGGCGCAAGCCUGAUGCAGCCAUGCCGCGUGUAUGAAGAAGGCCUUCGGGUUGUAAAGUACUUUCAGCGAGGAGGCGUUACUCGCAGAAGAAGCACCGGCUAACUCCGUGCCAGCAGCCGCGGUAAUAC
rnacentral:rRNA from 1 species